rnacentral:snoRNA from 1 species
AACCCAUGAUGAGGGCACCUUCUCAACAGAUCUUUGUAUCUCUCCCAUGCAUCAUAAAGCGUUUUUAGAUUCAUCUGCAUAAAAGAAGAGAUAUCACUACGUAAUUU